GGGUUGUGAGGUUAAGCGACUAAGCGUACACGGUGGAUGCCCUGGCAGUCAGAGGCGAUGAAGGACGUGCUAAUCUGCGAUAAGCGCCGGUAAGGUGAUAUGAACCGUUAUAACCGGCGAUUUCCGAAUGGGGAAACCCAGUGUGACUCGUCACACUAUCAUUAACUGAAUCCAUAGGUUAAUGAGGCGAACCGGGGGAACUGAAACAUCUAAGUACCCCGAGGAAAAGAAAUCAACCGAGAUUCCCCCAGUAGCGGCGAGCGAACGGGGAGGAGCCCAGAGCCUGAAUCAGCAUGUGUGUUAGUGGAAGCGUCUGGAAAGGCGCGCGAUACAGGGUGACAGCCCCGUACACAAAAGCGCAUGUGCUGUGAGCUCGAUGAGUAGGGCGGGACACGUGGUAUCCUGUCUGAAUAUGGGGGGACCAUCCUCCAAGGCUAAAUACUCCUGACUGACCGAUAGUGAACCAGUACCGUGAGGGAAAGGCGAAAAGAACCCCGGCGAGGGGAGUGAAAAAGAACCUGAAACCGUGUACGUACAAGCAGUGGGAGCCCCACCACUAAGCCAGUGGUGAACUCCACAUACGCAUCCUUUGCUGAGGAUACGGUUAACGGAGCGAAAGCGACGUUCAACCGCAAAAGAAGCAGAGGGGGCUUAGUGGUGGGGUGACUGCGUACCUUUUGUAUAAUGGGUCAGCGACUUAUAUUCUGUAGCAAGGUUAACCGUAUAGGGGAGCCGGAGGGAAACCGAGUCUUAAUUGGGCGUUAAGUUGCAGGGUAUAGACCCGAAACCCGGUGAUCUAGCCAUGGGCAGGUUGAAGGUUGGGUAACACUAACUGGAGGACCGAACCGACUAAUGUUGAAAAAUUAGCGGAUGACCUGUGGCU
rnacentral:rRNA from 1 species